CAGCCAUCACACCUGGCCAGCCCCAGAUGCAGGCCCAGCUUCUUCCCGAACACGGAGGCGCCACAGCUGGAAGGGGAUCAAGAAAACAAUUAUGAACUGCCUCAGAAACCUCUGUUGCUGCUGCCUGCCUCCUGCAGAGAGAGGCCAUGCCUCCUGCAAGAACCUGACUCCAAAGGGAAAGGAUCAUGGAGUCACCCCGAGAACGAGUCCUGAAGAGGUCAAGCCCCAGCCCCAUGGCUUGUGAGCCACGGGUUGGGGACCGGUCUGACUGAGAAUCAGACAGCCCCACAGGGAGCCAGGCCAGAUGUCCAGGAGGCAGUGUGGAGACAGUUCCCUGCUGCAGAGGAAGAGCUGACCACCCCAGCGCAGAGCUCUCCAGUUACUCACCUUCUGCCUCUCCAUGCUUGCUCCUUCAAGGCCACCAUUCCCAUUGGGAACUGGAUUCCACACUCACCACCAUGUGCUACACCAUGAGGCAGUGAUAGGUGUUGUGAUAUGGAUGGAACCAGAAACCCUUAUGAGGGCAGCAACCUGCUGUGG